CUCACCACUUGGCACAAAGCUGCAAGAUCCGCCCAAUCACCGUCACACUCAGAUGUUGUUUGUUUCGUUGCGGGAGCAAGCAAAGUUGGGUUGCAAAGGAUCAUACUGUGUCAGAUUGGACUUGUGUCGGGCAUGGACAGACACAGACAAACAUGGAAGAAGAGAAACAACCACCAUGGCUACUGGACUCGGCAGGAGGGCCGGAGAAGGACAGAAGUUUGAUCCUCGUGCACACAAACAACAUGGAGAAACGCCAUGACUGACACACAACAUGCAGAUGAGCAAUUUGAGAAAAUGCCACUGCAAGGUGGUGACGUCUUGGUCAUUGCUGUCCACAGAAAACCGUGUGCCAAGCAAUAGUGAAUGCAGAAGGGACUAAACUGUCGUUGAAGAUACCUUGACUUUGAAGUGAAUCAAAUCAUCAGAAGGGGUUGCAGUCAUUUCAGCAAGACAUCAAUCUUGUUCUACACAGUAUAUAGUGUAGAAUAGAAUUAGUUCUUGGCUCUCCUACUAUGAGCAUUGAUAAGUAUAUUCAGUCGUAUAUUAAUCGAAAAAUAUGCUUUUUCUACUUAUGUUAACUCAUAUAUUUUGAUGAUGUAAAUAGAUUUUGCCUUUCAUUCAUCCAACCUUUUGCAUCUCGUGCAGGUUAAAGGAGGGGAUGGCACUCACAUGUUUAACAGCAAGAAAGGCAGCCAAAGAUAAAGAAGAAUCAGGACAUGCACAUCAGCAUAAAGAUGAUGCUUACCCCACCCUCGAAGGGAUAGGAAAAAGAGGAGCAUGGAGCUAAGAAUUCAACAAGACUAAUGCUUUGUCAACAUGAGGAUGUUGUGAAGGUCUAAAGAAACACACCAAGUAUUAUUAGAUUAAGUAUGAAAGGUCUUUGGAUUCAAGUUUGGUUAGGAAAACCAAACCGAGGGAGAAAAGGAUGAGAUGGGAAAAGAUUUUGACAUUAUAUACAUCAACAUAUUAUGCAUAUUUCAGUGGUUACAAGCAGUAAAAGUAAUUAUUGGAGAGGUCUUGUUUGAUGUAUUUGUCUGUCAGGAUGAUGAUUAAGAUAUUACUGGAGUUCAUAUCAA